CAUACUCAUCUUUGAUAAAAUCGUCUUGUUACUGACCUGCUAUUUUUGAGCUUCUGUUUCUUAACAUGUUAUGUCAGUAUUAUCCUAUUCUGUUUUUUGUUACUUGGCAGACUUUGGGUUUCCUUCAACACUUCCACAUACGGAUGGCAAGGAGUUCCUUCUGAAACGAGAACCCGUCCAAAUGUAAAACCUGUCUGGAUACGCCCUGCUAUUCUAGAUUCAUUAAUGUUUGAGGAGAAGCAGCCACUUUGGAAUUAUCUUUGGUAUAUCUAAGUAAUAGAUUGCAUGCCUGCUAUUCUAGAUUCAUUAAUGUUUGAGGAGAAGCAGCCGCUUUGGAAUUAUCUUUGGUAUAUCUAAGUAAUAGAUUGCAUGCUGAUGAUACAUCUGAAGUUUGAACAAAGUGGAGAAUGGAGACUCGUAAUCCUGAAGUGUUAUCGGGUUUUGGUGCACAAGGCAAUUCCACCUUUAUU